GUUAGGAAUAUUGGACAAUGGGCGCAAGCCUGAUCCAGCCAUGCCGCGUGAGUGAUGAAGGCCUUCGGGUUGUAAAGCUCUUUAGUCCACGAAUAUAAUGACUGUAGUGGAAGAAUAAGCCCCGGCUAACUUCGUGCCAGCAGCCGCGGUAAUACGAAGGGGGCGAGCGUUAUUCGGAAUCACUGGGCGUAAAGCGUGCGUAGGCUGUUUUGUAAGUCAGAAGUGAAAACCCAGGGCUUAACCCUGGAAUUGCUUUUGAAACUACAAGACUCGAAUUCGGGAGAGGAUAGCGGAAUUGUCAGUGUAGCAGUGAAAUGCGUAGAUAUUGACAGGAACACCAGUGGCGCAAGCGGCUAUCUGGACCGAUAUUGACGCUGAGGCACGAAAGCGUGGGGAGCAAACAGGAUUAGAAACCCGAGUAGUCC
rnacentral:rRNA from 1 species